UUGCUGUGAUGACUUAUCUUAGGACACCUUUGGAAUACUCAUGAAAAAAAAAGUUAUUUCUGAGCAAC
ensembl:snoRNA SNORD58 Small nucleolar RNA SNORD58